UGGACAUGCCGGUUUAUAGGGAAAUUUUAAGCUGGUGCAAGUUUAAUAUGAAAGAAUAUAUAUUAAGAUAUAAAAUAACUACUAGCCAAAAUUAAAUCAAGAGGUAUAUUUGUAUCAUUCACUCGUUUAGAUGAGUGAGAGUUUAAAAGGUAGUUUUGCACUCAGGAAAGAUUUCCUUAUACUCUGUAUUUAUGAAUAUAUAAAUUAUUCUCCCCUGCAACUUAAAAACUCAAUAGCCAAAUAACACAUUUAUGUAUUUUAAGGUGACUAAGGCUCAGGAUAUAAGCAGCAGACUGGCUUCAUGAAAGAAAGCAAGUAUUUAAAAUUGUACCUUAAAAUAUAAACUUGAUUUCAGUUUCUGACAGAAAUACUGUGACCAGCUCAUCAGUUUUCCAGAUCAUUUUUAAAGCAGCAUGUAAAAAUUACCUUUUCCACAUUAGAAGUUCAUAUUUAAGUUUCCUUAACUGCAAAAUCACUCUAAAACAGAGUGUUUUACGUUAAGGAUCAUUUCAUGUGUUGGUCCCAUUGAUUACAUAUGAAUGUAUAAAAAUCUUGUUUAAAAGACCAGUAAAAGUGAGGAAAUUCCAAGUCAAGCUGGCUAAUUCCAUUCAUAAUUCAUCCUGAGUGCCUGACUUAGGAAACUUGCACACAGUUUAUAGCUAUACAUACAAAAUAAGUUGACUUGUUUGGUAAACAGGGAAGCAGAGUUAAAUUUGACCUCCUUGCUCAGAAAGGCUUACGUUGAUACAACCAUGGAAUGUAGGUUAAGCUUUUUGUUUCCCCAGGAAUUUUCCAAUCUCAAUCCUUUUUUGGAUUUUCGCUUUUUGAAAACGUAAACACAGGACAACUUUUGUGUUCUGAGAUGGGGCUGACUUUCACCCACCCGUUCCCUUCCUGCUCGCAUAUUUGUUCAGGAAUUCUUAGUGCUGGGGGAGCACAGAGGCCCUGCCGUGAGAAAACAGCAUUCACCGAAUCGCUGUCCCCGUCCCCGUCCCCGUUAGCUACCCUAGGCCCUCUUUUUAUUCUGAGCAAACUGGGCAAGAAUUUAGUACUUAUACUCACAUGGUUCAAACUGCUAGAUCCACAGCCCGAAGUACUUUUGGCAGCUGGCAAGAAGUCCAUCCAGACUUUGUAUUCUGAGCUGGGAAAAACUACUGAAGAAUCGCGUGCUUGCCAUUGAGGAACUUCCAGUCUGUCUGUCAAACCUGAAACAAUCCAUCUGCUUGUUUUCCAAAGCUGCACUGUAGGGUGAUGCCAUCCCUUAGUUUUGACGUUUAGGAAGACGUUAAGACAUUUUCAUACAGUUUCUUAAACAUGCUGAGUAAUUUGUAAUUUUAAACCAGACAAAUUUUAAGGGUGAAAACUGGCCCAGAGAGAGUCUUUACACAAUAACUUCAAACUGCUGUGAACUUUUAAAAGUGACUUUUUAAAAUAAGAUCUUGAAAAUGUGGGUUUCUGGUGGCUACUCAGAAUAGGAAUCCUCAGAACCAGUUAAUAUUCACCAAACACGCUUCAUUAAACUGGAACAAACAUGAUGUUGAAUUCCUAGCUCCCCAUUUUCCUGAAUGUAGGUCAUUUUCUGUCCUUACAAUUUAACGAUUGAAGGGAUUUCCUGUCUUUGAAGUACAGCAGUUUGUCACUUGUUUGGAUUAGCCUCUUUAAAAGUUGGGGCUCCCAUCCUACGUUGAAAGACUUAGCGACUCCAUGUUCUCUGGCUAGAGUUUCCCAGCUCACUAAAGGCAGUGAUACCUGCCCGUGUGGGACUUUGCUUUACAAGUCGGUGCCUGCAGAGCCCAUAUUCCAGGUUGGAGCCUUCAGGAAAAGCCCAGAGUCAUGCGCUUACCUGGGUGAAGCCAAAAAGAGGAGACACAGCUUCGACCACUGUUCUGGGGCAUCACUGCCAUGGGGCAGCGAAGCCCUUGAGCCACAUCUACUGAAGCCUGCGCACCUGGAGGCCCUGCUGCUUGACAAGAGAAGCCACCGCAAUGAGAAGCCUGCACACGGCAACAAAGAGUACUCCCUGCUCACCUCAACUAGAGAAAGUCAGCAUGCAGCAACAAAGACCCAGCGUAG
ensembl:lncRNA